rnacentral:sRNA from 1 species
GCAGAAACAUUGACAGCAGUGAGACUUACAGAGAAUACUGCAAGCUGUACAGAACUGAAAUUCUACUGCCUGUCUUACAAAGUGUAGCCAGGAGGCUGGGCCAAGGUGACCUCUAUGAAAGCCUCAUUCUGGACACUGAUGUGUAUGUGAUGCCUAAAGGAGCUUCAGAAAUAGAAGUCAGACUCAAACAGCUGUACAGACUUUUGGAAAAUUAUGAAUGUCACAUGAUUGGAGAAGUCAGGAAAAGGGUUGCAAGGGAGAUCACUCUAGCACUCUCUGAAAGAGCACGAGAAGAAGAGGCUUUGCCAACAGACCUCUGGAAGAG